CUAGUUGUUGGGGAUUUACUUCCUUGGUAACGUAGCUAACGCGUGAAGUUGACCGCCUGGGGAGUACGGCCGCAAGGUUAAAACUCAAAGGAAUUGACGGGGACCCGCACAAGCGGUGGAUGAUGUGGAUUAAUUCGAUGCAACGCGAAAAACCUUACCUACCCUUGACAUGGCAGGAACUUUCCAGAGAUGGAUUGGUGCUCGAAAGAGAACCUGCACACAGGUGCUGCAUGGCUGUCGUCAGCUCGUGUCGUGAGAUGUUGGGUUAAGUCCCGCAACGAGCGCAACCCUUGUCAUUAGUUGCUACGAAAGGGCACUCUAAUGAGACUGCCGGUGACAAACCGGAGGAAGGUGGGGAUGACGUCAAGUCCUCAUGGCCCUUAUGGGUAGGGCUUCACACGUCAUACAAUGGUCGGUACAGAGGGUUGCCAAGCCGCGAGGUGGAGCCAAUCCCAGAAAACCGAUCGUAGCCCGGAUCGCAGUCUGCAACUCGACUGCGUGAAGUCGGAAUCGCUAGUAAUCGCGGAUCAGAAUGCCGCGGUGAAUACGUUCCCGGGUCUUGUACACACCGCCCGUCACACCAUGGGAGUGGGUUCUACCAGAAGUGGCUAGUCUAACCGCAAGGAGGACGGUCACCACGGUAGGAUUCAUGACUGGGGUGAAGUCGUAACAAGGUAGCCGUAAAGGG
rnacentral:rRNA from 1 species